rnacentral:piRNA from 1 species
UGAAAUAUGGGUAAUUAAUCUUUGACCAUC